UAAUCCAUGAUUCCUACAUACCAACUUGAAUACAUACAUAUGGAAAACUAGAUAUAUUUUGUGUUCACAUAGCAUGUAAUAAAUCAUAUAUGUCUGGACUAGCUUAUGAAUCAAGUCAUGGUCAAUUUAGUAGUACAAGUAAUAAACACGUUAAAAGUCAAGACUUUAUUUUACUCAACCUAAUAAGACAAACCAUAGAAGAUAAUCCCCCAUCUUCCCAUCUUUAUUAAAGUUGGCGCCUAUAGAAACUUCCGUAGAAUUAAGUAGAGAUGAAAAGUAGCUUACAAAGCAUCCCUUUUGAAGCUCACCACUAGCAAAUGAACAAGAGUUUGACACAUAUAUAGCCUCCGUUUUCUUGUUGAUCACGGUUUUGAAGACUAUAAAUACCCCUCUUCGAUGCCUUCAUUUCUUGCAUCCAACACACAACUAUUCUUCCCCAAUUUAAGUCUAUCAUAAACCCUAUUACUCUUUGGUUUUCUCACGGCAGAAUGCUGAGAAAUUAACCACAAGACAGCCACGAAACACCACCCUAAAAGCUCUUUUACAAUUCACAAUGUUACUCUCUAAAAACCUCACCAGUUUACGAGCAACGAACAGCCCUCAUUCUCUUGCCGUUAAGGGCUCUACGAAACUGCCCCAGAAACAACCCAACAUCACCAUCGCUGCAUGGUUUAAAAACUAGUAUAUAUGCAUUUCGGGUUUGCUAUUUCAAGCUAGGGAGUUGCUGGAUCUUUUGAGGUCUUUUCAGGAUCAUUAAGCUGUCCAUUCUUAGACCCUUUUGGUUUACUUGUCAUCUGGUGUCAUUAUAAAGGAGAACUCCAAAUCAAUGGCUAUGUCGAAUAGGAAUGAUGGUUGCUGCUCCUUAUCGUCCUGUCAUAUUCAUGGCUGGAACUCUAUACCAACACCUUCUCGUUUAUCCUUUUCUCUUGUGGGUGCCGUUGUACUUUCUCAAGGAACAACAACAACUUGAUUACUUCUUGUUUGGGUUUAUACAUCUCGGUUUUGAUAUCAAGAAACGAAGUGACGUUGUUAUUACUACGAAGCACCAUCACUCGGGUUUAAACACGUAAUCAAGGGGUUGCUAUAAGGGUAGCGAAACUCACUAAAGUAAGCUCGGGAUUCCAAGGUAGGAGUCAAGUUACUGGCUUUCGAGUUGUUUUCUAGUUUGUCUUCGGGUGUCAUCAAUGGCUAUUGAUCUUUCUCGUUCUCUCAUCUUCAAGAAAACACAACUAUCAUGGUGUUUUGCAUUUAUAAGGAAAAAUAAGUGAUUAAGACUUUUAAGGGAUUUUACAAAAACAAAAGAUACUUAAGAUAAGCACAAUGCAUGGCGUGAUGUUCAUAUAUCAGCUAGUAAGGAUCACUUCCACUUCCUUUAAGGAAACAAAUUACUCGGAGUAUAAGUAGAAGAAACAUGCUUUUUGGGAGUCACAUAUGCAUUCACUAAAGAACAAAGAUUUUCAAGAGCUUUUCUAUUAAGAUAAUCAUGUUGUAAACACUCUAGUAUAAGUUUUGUUCACUUCAUAUAAGAUCUUGGUUUUUAUAUCAAUAAUAUUUCAAAACGUCUCAUUUAGAGGUCGUUUGUUAUAAUUUGUGAUUGUGAUCUCAAGAAGUCACCCUCCGUCUUGGGUCCUCCUUAGGCGGGGUGUGACAUGAUGUGAUCAACCUAUGAUGGAAAUCCGAUUUGGGAUUGUGCAAUUAUGCUUGUAAAUGUCCACUUUUGCUUCAAAACGGGUUCAUCACUUCUUCUA